AUAGUACUCGCUUCCAACAAUAGAUGUCUCAAGUUGUUAAAAUUUGGAUGUAUCUAGACAUGACUUAGUGUAUAGAUGCAUUCAAAUUUAGUCAAAGUUGAGACAUUUUUUAUUGGACGGAGGGAGUACUAA
rnacentral:pre_miRNA from 1 species